AGCGCAGGCGGUCGGGUAAGUCCAAAGUGAAAGCCCGGGGCUCAACUUCGGAAGUGCUUUGGAUACUGUCCGGCUAGAGCUCGUGAGAGGAAAGCGGAAUUCCAGGUGUAGCGGUGAAAUGCGUAGAUAUCUGGAGGGACACCGGUGGCGAAAGCGGCUUUCUGGCGCGAUACUGACGCUGAGGCUCGAAAGCGUGGGGAGCAAACAGGAUUAGAUACCCUGGUAGUCCACGCCGUAAACGUUGUGCACUAGGUGUGGGAGGUAUCGACCCCUUCCGUGCCGCAGCUAACGCACUAAGUGCACCGCCUGGGGAGUACGGUCGCAAGACUGAA
rnacentral:rRNA from 1 species